rnacentral:piRNA from 1 species
UNGUGAGGUGCACGUAAAUCGAGCAGGUC